AACUGUCAAUGAUGACUUUAAAAACAACAAUGGGAAUCUCUCUGAAAAAUAAUGAAAGAGUUCAAUUUUAUCUGAUGCAGUG